AAGAGGAGAGCGGUGGAGGGGUAUAGGCUGAGUAGCAGUCGAUCCACGUGCCUUCUGGGUCUGAACCCCGAAUGACUACCGGGAACUUGGGGAGGAGAGGCGGCGAAGAUGCAAGAACUCCCCAACAGCCUUGGAGCUAAAUAAGCUUCACUGUGGCGGGGGAUUUCCAGGGUUACUGUGUCAGAGACCCUUCUCCGAGUCUUUCAAUCUGGGGCGAAGAGAGUGACCUCAAACUGGGAAGCCCAGGCGCUCAUCUCCCUGCGUGCUCUCCAUCCCCUUUUUACUUAAAAAUCUCGAAGCAGCAGCUAACUAGUGCUGCAAUCCAGAGUGCCAUCUCUUGACAGACAGGAUGGCUUAGAAAAAAAUUGGAAUUCCCUAAAUGACUCAGGACCUAGAUCUUCAUUCUCCUCUGAAGUUAGGACACACUUCCUGAUCACAGUGAUUCAUUGCAAAGGUUCCCAGUUUGGGGUACAUGUAGCCCAAGAGUACCAAAAAGCUUGUCAAAGGAAGCGUUUGGUGGUAUUAGGAAGACUGCUGAAAGCCAAGGAGUGUGGGAACUGAAAGUGGUUUGGAACCACUGCAGUCAAGGCACCCUGGAAGAGCAUUGGGAUUGGAAAAAGGAAGAUUCCAACUCUGUUCCUGACACUCCCUAAGCUGUGUGACCCUGGGCAUGGUGAGAAGGAGUUUACUGCCAGAUGAAAUCACAGUUCCUUCACUUGAAUAUUACAGAGCUUAGCCUUUCUUUCACCUUUCAAGUUAAAGCUUCAACAACAACAACAACAACAAAUUUUUGUGUGGUGCUUUUAAGGUUUGCAAAGUGCUUACUCCAAUAGUUUCAUUACUAGAAUCCAGAUGCUUCUAGGAUGGAAUUGACUAGUAAAAACAUCACUCCUUACCAACAUGGUGGGAGGGAUGGAAAUUGGGGGAGUUUUUGGUUGUUUUGUUUUUAAAAAUCCCUGUUCCAUGGGCUUCGGAAUGGGCAGGAUUUUUGGUAUGAGAGAGAUCCAGA